UACGGAGGGUGCGAGCGUUAAUCGGAAUAACUGGGCGUAAAGGGCACGCAGGCGGUCUAUUAAGUCGGAUGUGAAAGCCCCGGGCUUAACUUGGGAAUUGCAUCGGAAACUGGGUGGCUUGAGUUCUGUAGAGGGGGGUAGAAUUCCACGUGUAGCGGUGAAAUGCGUAGAGAUGUGGAGGAAUACCGAAGGCGAAGGCAGCCCCUUGGGAAUGUACUGACGCUCAUGUGCGAAAGCGUGGGGAGCAAACAGG
rnacentral:rRNA from 1 species